UUGGGAGUGGCAGAGUUGGUUUAAUGCCGCUAACCGCAAUGGUUGGUGGUGCCUCAGGCGCAUGAGGCACACACGGGUUCGAAUCCCGUCUCCCAAA
rnacentral:tRNA from 1 species